CGCCCAACUUCCAGCGCACCUCCUCCAAACGCAUCAGCCGCAGUCUGGAUGGAGCACCAAUGAUCAGCAUAACGGAAGCAUCGGAGAACGGACGUGAACCCCACCUGGAGCUCCACUCUGACUCUAAGUCCAUCUUCAUGUUCCCUCUAUCCUUCUCCUCCUCGUCCUCCCUCUCCUCCCUCCCCCCUUCCCUCGACACCAUCUCCGAGCUCGACCGCGGCCUGUCGGACAUCUCGGAAGACGACGACCUCGCAGACCCCGCCUCCCCCCGCGCGCCGUGGGCCCUCCCCUCGAACACCGUCCCCCUUUUCCCCGAGCAGCAGUCGGCUGACCUCCAACGCCUUGCGCAGACCCCCCCGGCCACGCCUCCGACCGCUGGCCCCGAAACGCGCGUCGCCGAGGUUUCUGACGCAGGGCCGGGCCGCCCGGCGGGCACCGGAGCGACGGCCGCAUCGUCCAAUUGGUGGAGCUGGUUCUCCCUGAGGGGCGUGGCUAAAUACGUCUCCUUCGUGCUGUGUUUCCUCUCCGUUUGGGGCCGGGACGGGAACGGCUGUGCGCCCACUAAGCUGCUAUCGGGACUGACCAAGAGACUGAGGCUUUUUGCCCGCCGGCUCACCUUCAAGUCAGCGGCGCCGCUCAGAGCCCCCGAACGCACCGCGGCGCCCAGAUUACGUCACGUUUUUGACAGCCUGGCGUUGAAAUGGACUCGUCUCGUGGCAUUUAUCGCGACCUACCUGCCCGCUAAACUCAUGAGUCUGGUUCCCGCGGUCGCCUGGCGCCCGGCGCGGCUCCGGCUGGCCGCGAUGUCCUCCGUCACCCGUCCCCCGGUCGUCUCUUCCUUCGCCCACGUCUCUUCCCUGCCCUCUUAUUUGUUGUCCGUCCCGUCUCGCGCCUCUCUCGCCAGCACCCGCCUGCGCCCUUCGGUACAGCGCUACCUGCUGAACCCCUCCCCUCUGUUCCUGCCCUGCCUCCUGGUCGUCUUCCUAUUGGCCGUGAUGCUCACGGCCAGCCAGUCCCUGGUGUUGGCCCUGAUUCUGGCCGCACCCCUCGGCCUGACCCUGUGUUACCUGGAGAACGUGGUCUCCGGGCAACGGAAGGCGGCCUCGCCGGA
ensembl:lncRNA